UACGAAGGGGGCUAGCGUUGUUCGGAUUUACUGGGCGUAAAGCGCACGUAGGCGGAUCGUUAAGUCGGGGGUGAAAUCCUGGAGCUCAACUCCAGAACUGCCUUCGAUACUGGCGAUCUUGAGUCCGGAAGAGGUGAGUGGAACUCCUAGUGUAGAGGUGGAAUUCGUAGAUAUUAGGAAGAACACCAGUGGCGAAGGCGGAUCUCUGGGCCAUUACUGACGCUGAGGAGCGAAAGCGUGGGGAGCGAACAGG
rnacentral:rRNA from 1 species